rnacentral:rRNA from 1 species
CCUACGUGAGGCUGCAGUGGGGAAUAUUGGACAAUGGGCGAAAGCCUGAUCCAGCCAUGCCGCGUGUGUGAAGAAGGCCUUCGGGUUGUAAAGCACUUUCAGUGGGGAAGAAAGCCUUGGGGCUAAUACCCUCGAGGAAGGACAUCACCCACAGAAGAAGCACCGGCUAACUCCGUGCCAGCAGCCGCGGUAAUACGGAGGGUGCGAGCGUUAAUCGGAAUUACUGGGCGUAAAGCGCGCGUAGGCGGUCUGAUAAGCCGGUUGUGAAAGCCCCGGGCUCAACCUGGGAACGGCAUCCGGAACUGUCAGGCUAGAGUGCAGGAGAGGAAGGUAGAAUUCCCGGUGUAGCGGUGAAAUGCGUAGAGAUCGGGAGGAAUACCAGUGGCGAAGGCGGCCUUCUGGACUGACACUGACGCUGAGGUGCGAAAGCGUGGGUAGCAAACAGGAUUAGAUACCCCGGUAGUC